rnacentral:misc_RNA from 1 species
GUAUUAAUAUUAAGGCCUCACGGCACAAUCACGUUCAAUAUUGAAAUAAAGUGUGUAAUGAGAGGAAGGGACUCCAAGAAGAACUCGGAGACCCUCUCUAAAUGUGCACAGGUGUUUGGAAGAUGAUUGUUAGGGCAAGCACAUGCAUCCAAAAAUUGGCUGCCAGCAUCAAACCCCAUCACAACUCAUUAAUGAUCCUUCCGCAGGUUCACCUACGGAAA